AGAGCGAACGCUGGCGGCAGGCUUAACACAUGCAAGUCGAACGCUCCGCAAGGGGAGUGGCAGACGGGUGAGUAACGCGUGGGAACAUACCCCUCGGUUCGGAAUAACUCAGGGAAACUUGAGCUAAUACCGGAUACGGUCGAGAGGCGAAAGAUUUAUCGCCGAGGGAUUGGCCCGCGUCCGAUUAGCUAGUUGGUGAGGUAAUGGCUCACCAAGGCGACGAUCGGUAGCUGGUCUGAGAGGAUGAUCAGCCACAUUGGGACUGAGACACGGCCCAAACUCCUACGGGAGGCAGCAGUGGGGAAUAUUGGACAAUGGGCGAAAGCCUGAUCCAGCCAUGCCGCGUGAGUGAUGAAGGCCUUAGGGUUGUAAAGCUCUUUCGCCAGGGACGAUAAUGACGGUACCUGGAUAAGAAGCCCGGCUAACUUCGUGCCAGCAGCCGC
rnacentral:rRNA from 1 species